GACGAACGCUGGCGGCGUGCUUAACACAUGCCAGUCGAACGGAAAGGCCCUGCUUUUUUGGGGUUCUCGAGUGGCGAACGGGUGAGUAACACGUGAGUAACCUGCCCUUGACUUUGGGAUAACUUCAGGAAACUGGGGCUAAUACCGGAUAGGAGCUCCUGCUGCAUGGUGGGGGUUGGAAAGUUUCGGCGGUUGGGGAUGGACUCGCGGCUUAUGAGCUUGUUGGUGGGGGAGGGGCUUACCAAGGCUUUGACGGGUAGCCGGCCUGAGAGGGUGGCCGGCCACAUUGGGACUGAGAGAGGGCCCAGACUCCUACGGGAGGCAGCAGUGGGGAAUAUUGCACAAUGGGCGGAAGCCUGAUGCAGAAACGCCGCGUGCGGGAUGACGGCCUUCGGGUUGUAAACCGCUUUCGCCUGUGACGAAGCGUGAGUGACGGUAAUGGGUAAAGAAGCACCGGCUAACUACGUG
rnacentral:rRNA from 1 species